rnacentral:rRNA from 1 species
CCUACGGGAGGCAGCAGUGGGGAAUAUUGCACAAUGGGGGAAACCCUGAUGCAGCGACGCCGCGUGAGUGAAGAAGUAACUCGUUAUGUAAAGCUCUAUCAGUAGGGAAGAAAAUUACGGUAUGUGAGCAAGAAGCCCUGGCUAAUUCCGGGCCAGCAGCCGCGGUAAUACGCAGGGGGCAAGCGUUAUCCGGAUUUACGGGGUGUAAAGGGAGCGUAGACGGGAGUGCAAGUCAGGUGUGAAAGGCGGGGGCUCAACCCCCGGACUGCACUGGAAACUGUACGGCUGGAGUGCAGGAGAGGUAGGUGGAAUUCCUAGUGUAGCGGUGAAAUGCGUAGAUAUUAGGAAGAACACCAGUGGCGAAGGCGGCUUACUGGACUGUAACUGACGUUGAGGCUCGAAAGCGUGGGGAGCAAACAGGAUUAGAUACCCCAGUAGUC